GAUGAAGAACGUAGCGAAAUGCGAUAAGUAAUGUGAAUUGCAGAAUUCAGUGAAUCAUCGAAUCUUUGAACGCACAUUGCGCCCGCCAGUAUUCUGGCGGGCAUGCCUGUUCGAGCGUCAUUUCAACCAUCAAGCCCCCCGGCUUGUGUUGGGGACCUGCGGCUGCCGCAGGCCCUGAAAAGCAGUGGCGGGCUCGCUGUCACACCGAGCGUAGUAGAUCUCAUCUCGCUCAGGGCGUGCUGCGGGUUCCGGCCGUUAAACCACCUUCAUAACCCAAGUUUGACCUCGGAUCAGGUAGGAAGACCCGCUGAACUUAAGCAUAUCAAUAAGCGGAGGA
rnacentral:misc_RNA from 1 species